ACUCCUACGGGAGGCAGCAGUGGGGAAUAUUGGACAAUGGGCGCAAGCCUGAUCCAGCCAUGCCGCGUGAGUGAUGAAGGCCCUAGGGUUGUAAAGCUCUUUCACCGGUGAAGAUAAUGACGGUAACCGGAGAAGAAGCCCCGGCUAACUUCGUGCCAGCAGCCGCGGUAAUACGAAGGGGGCUAGCGUUGUUCGGAUUUACUGGGCGUAAAGCGCACGUAGGCGGACUAUUAAGUCAGGGGUGAAAUCCCGGGGCUCAACCCCGGAACUGCCUUUGAUACUGGUAGUCUUGAGUUCGAGAGAGGUGAGUGGAAUUCCGAGUGUAGAGGUGAAAUUCGUAGAUAUUCGGAGGAACACCAGUGGCGAAGGCGGCUCACUGGCUCGAUAUUGACGCUGAGGUGCGAAAGCGUGGGGAGCAAACAGGAUUAGAAACCCUGGUAGUCCC
rnacentral:rRNA from 1 species